rnacentral:rRNA from 1 species
UACGUAGGGGGCAAGCGUUGUCCGGAUUUAUUGGGCGUAAAGAGCGUGUAGGCGGCCAUGUAGGUCCGUUGUGAAAACUCGAGGCUCAACCUCGAGACGCCGAUGGAAACCAUGUGGCUAGAGUCCGGAAGAGGAGAGUGGAAUUCCUGGUGUAGCGGUGAAAUUCGUAGAUAUUGGAAGAACACCAGUGGCGAAGGCGACUUACUGGACACAUAUUGACGCUGAGGUGCGAAAGCGUGGGGAGCAAACAGGG